UACGUAGGGGGCUAGCGUUGUCCGGAUUUAUUGGGCGUAAAGAGCGUGUAGGCGGCCAUACAGGUCCGUUGUGAAACUGGAGGCUUAACCUCCAGACGUCGAUGGAAACCGUAUGGCUAGAGUCCGGAAGAGGCGAGUGGAAUUCCUGGAUGUAGCGGUGAAAUGACGCAGAUAUCAGGAGGAACACCUAUUGCGAAGGCAGCUCGCUGGGACGUAACUGACGCUGAGACGCGAAAGCGUGGGGAGCAAACAGG
rnacentral:rRNA from 1 species